CCUACGGGAGGCAGCAGUGAGGAAUAUUGGUCAAUGGACGAGAGUCUGAACCAGCCAAGUAGCGUGAAGGAUGACUGCCCUAUGGGUUGUAAACUUCUGUUAUAAAGGAAUAAAACGAGGCACGUGUGCCUGUUUGCAUGUACGUUAUGAAUAAGGAUCGGCUAACUCCGUGCCAGCAGCCGCGGUAAUACGGAGGAUCCGAGCGUGAUCCGGAUUGAUUGGGUUUAAAGGGAGCGUAGAUGGGUUGUUAAGUCAGUUGUGAACGUUUGCGGCUCAACCGGAAAAUUGCAAUUGAUACUGGCAGUCUUGAGUUCAGUUGAGGUAGGCGGACUUCGUUGUGUAGCGGUGAAAUGCUUAGAUAUCACG
rnacentral:rRNA from 1 species